CAAGGAUUCCCUUAGUAACGGCGAGUGAAGCGGAAGAGCUCAAAUUUGAAAUCUGGCGGUCUACGCCCGUCCGAGUUGUAGUCUAGAGAAGUGUUUUCCGUGCUGGACCGUGUACAAGUCCCUUGGAAUAGGGCGUCGUAGAGGGUGAGAAUCCCGUCUCUGACACGGACUACCCAGUGCUCUGUGAUGCACUCUCGAAGAGUCGAGUUGUUUGGGAAUGCAGCUCAAAAUGGGUGGUAAAUUCCAUCUAAAGCUAAAUAUUGGCGGAAGACCGAUAGCGAACAAGUACCGUGAGGGAAAGAUGAAAAGCACUUUGGAAAGAGAGUUAAACAGUACGUGAAAUUGUUGAAAGGGAAACGCUUGAAGUCAGUCGCGUCUUUCGAGAUUCAACCAGGCCUUGGCCUGGUGUAUUUCUUGUUGGACGGGCCAGCAUCAAUUUCGACCACUGGAUAAAGGCAAGGGGAAUGUGGCACCUCCGGGUGUGUUAUAGCCCCUUGUUGUAUACAGUGGUUGGGAUUGAGGUCUGCAGCACGCCUUUAUGGCCGGGUUCGCCC
rnacentral:rRNA from 1 species